AUGAGCGGCACCACAAUGUGUAUUUAUGUUCUCCAGAUGGCCAUUGCAAUGAUAAUGAGUAUGACAAUGGGGGGCCGGUUAUUGACUUUGGAUGGAAAAGUUGUCGGAAUGGUCAACGACCCUGAGAGAUUUGAGUCUUUUAUAUCUUCUUCCAUUUUGCUCAAUUGUUUGGAUUCAUGGAGGAAAUAUCGGCAUUUUGCCUGGCCCCAUCUUGGAAUGGCGUUUAAGGCCAUCGAACUUCUAGAACCUGCUCAUAUUGACAUGUUGUGGCGUAUGUAUGACAUUGAUGACGGCCUUGGUGUGUCAAAGGGAUCUAAUGCUGAGACACUCGGAAUCCAAAAAGGUGAUGUUAUUGAAUCUAUCAAUGGAAAGCAUGUUUUUACCACAAUUGAGGUGGGUGUAUUAAUGAGCUGA
rnacentral:rRNA from 1 species